rnacentral:rRNA from 2 species
GUACACAGCAGUGUAUUGCCUGCAAGUGAAUUCAUAGCUUGUCGGCGGCAGACGCGGGGAACUGAAACAUCUCAGUACCCGCAGGAAGAGAAAGAAAACUCGAUUCCCAUAGUAGCGGCGAGCGAAGUGGGAAGAGCCCAAACCGAGAAGCUUGCUUCUCGGGGUUGUAGGACUGGACAUUGGAGUUACCAAAGUUCGACGUAGUCGAAGUCAGCUGGAAAGCUGCGCCAUAGAAGGUGAAAGCCCUGUAAACGAAACGGCGGACCCUCCGUCCAGGAUCCUGAGUACGGCGGAACACGUGAAAUUCCGUCGGAAUCCGGGAGGACCAUCUCCCAAGGCUAAAUACUCCCU